ensembl:lncRNA
AUGAAGCUGUGCAGGUUUAGACGGAGCAGAAAGCGAGAGAGGUUGUCUGUACAGAAGAGGGAGUGGAGAGGCUUUUCCAGGUUCCCUAGUGUUGGCCCGCUGUCUGCAGCCGUGGUGGUCCUCUUAGCUGGAGACGUGCCGUGUCCCCGCCAUUGUCAACCGCCAUCUCCACCCUUUCUCCCAGAGACGUGGCACCUCUACCUCUGAACAGGCUACGUGUCACACACUCCCACUAAUCUCUAUGCAUGAUUCCUCCAGGGAGAGUUCACAGCCAUCUUUGUUCCUCCCAACGCUGCCUCUCGAAGGCAAGCCUCUGUGCAUUCCAGCAGCCGCUGGUCAUUGAGUCAUUUCCAUUGAGGCAGGAGAGCAUGGGUCCAGCUCUCUGUCUCCGGACUGAUGGAUGGCCUGUCUGACUUUAUCUGAGCAGGACGGACGCUGCGUUGGCUGGAGCCCAGAGAUUGUCACUCCUGACUGCUUUAUCAGGGCCUGACUUAUAGAGCUGUCAUCCUCUUAGAGCAAGGUUCCCAGGCACCUCGUCCAGCCGGUCCCCCCUCCUGUCUGUCAUGCUGCCAUCCAGGGACCUUGGCCUGCCUGCCUAACCAGAUGCCUGCCUCCCACCCACCCAGGGACAGAUACAUUAACAAACUUGUCUUGAUUCAUCAGCUCCACCCUUGGGUGUUGUAAGAGCCUCUCUUUUGCCAAGUGGUAUUAACUCCAGAUGAGGCGUGGACUUUCUCAUUAUAGAUAUAGAUAGGCCUUGGAUGUGGAUAUAUGAAGUUUCUUUUGUGAUUACACAAGACAUUCACUUGGAUCUUCCUUGUCUUGCACAUAUUCAAAAGACUUGAUUUUGACACUUUGUAAUAGCACUGCUGAUAUGUUUCUUUAUCUAGUGUUCACACUACAAACCCUGAAUGAAAAAAACUGAAAAAGAUGGCAAUUUUACAAACAUCGUCUCAAAGGCUGAGCCCAUGUUUGAGCUUGCCAUGAAACCACAGCGGAGUUCCUUCCUUAUUCUCACUUUGAUGAGCCAUUGGAGAGCUUGGGGGGAAGCCAAGUGAAGUCUGGGGCCUCUUGCACAUUCUGAUGUUUUGUUUCAAACAGAGCAGCUUUUGUUCAACUGUCAGAAAAGGAGCGCUUCACAGUGUGUCUGAGUGUGUUUAGUAACCACAAACACACUGCAUGUGUUCAUUUCAUUUUUACAGAGGUUCUGUAGACACAGUUAGACGUGUGUUUCAUACUGUUUCCAUGGGUAUCUGCAAUCAAAAUAAUAUGGGAUUUUGAGUGACAGUCUGUAGCGUAAAAGUAUCGUUAAGUUGAAAGGGUUAACCUCAGGAUGGCUUUUAGGAUGUGCCAGAGGUUGAAAGAUCAGAAAUCAUGAUCUCCAGAUCAAACCCCUGACUCAUUUCUCAGUCAACAAAAUACAACGCCCCGGGCGCUUACACUUUAUAGAUGGAGCCAUGAAUAACUGUGAAAUGGAUUAAUCUAUUGUGUGAAUCUCCAGCUAGACCAGGCAUGGCCAUGUAGUUAGAUUAAAUACAGCUGAACUGCAUGUCUUGUGAUCGCAUUAACAGUUCCACCAUGAGGUUGAUAUUUGUGGUUUUACGUGAAAUGUCUCAACAUGUAUUAGAGGGAUUGUCAUGAAAUUUGGUACACAAGUUCAUGUCACUCAUGAUGAAUUGUUAUAAGUUUGAUGAACCCCUAACAGCAGCAUCAUCAGGUCAAAUUAUACUUUAUGACCACAAAUGUGCAAAACUAAUGACAUGUUGAACAUCAGCUUGUCAGCUUUAUUAUGAGAAUGUAAGCUCACUGUCGUUAGCAAUUUAAGAUCAAUGCACCGCUGAGCUGCUAGCAUGGCACGAGACUCUGAAGUGUCAGAAAUCCCAAUUGAGGUUCUAUUAUACAAGGCGUUGUGAUUGAGUGAGUUUGGACACAGCAUUGGUCUUGUUUUAAUCUUGACGUGCAGAGACGCAAUAAACACUUAAACAUACAGUUUGUGUUUGGUGGUGUUCUCCUGGGGGACAGCAGCUCAGCAAAACCAAGACAAAUGGGACUCGUUAAGACCACUCAGCAUUUUUCAUCCAGAUAUCAGCUCAUUACAGUG